rnacentral:tRNA from 1 species
AUUCGAAUAAUUCAAUGGUAGAAUGUUUAGCUUACACCUAAAAAGUUGUUGGUUCGAGUCCAACUUCGAAAU